UCUAGCUUCCUUGCUCAGAUGUUGCUGUACCUUUAAAAAACUAUACCUAGUAGAUGGGAAAGCACUCAAUAAACCAAUCACUGUGGAGUACUGGAAGGCGAUGCAUUUUCCCUGCCUUUGACUCACAGUGCAAGGAAAUGGACAAUUUUGUUUAGAGUACGUUAAGUUUCUUACUUUGACAUCAUUCCUUUAUUUAUUCUUAGAGAACCUGUUAAUCUGUCACAUUUGUGGGGUUUCUAGGGGUGUAGAAAGCAAGGGAAAUUGAUAGAAAUGCAAAUUUGGGUCAAGAUUCACUAAGGUUCAAUGGAUUGAAGAGGAGAAACAGAAAAUAAAGACAGCAAGACAGAAAACAGUAUGGUACUGGAGCAACAGACAGGAUGUGUGUUGUAGUUCCAAAUCCCUCUAGUUUGCAGUCAUAUUAGGAGUUUGAAACAAAUUCUUGCACUUCUUCAGACAGUGCCUUGACCAAACGUACUGGAUAUGUUUCAUUCCUUUUGUUGAAAUAGAUCCCUUCUGUAGAAAGACUACAGAUUUAAUGGGUGCAGUUUGCUGAACCAUCAUUUGCAAACAGAACAGUUGUUUUUUAAAAUUUCAAUUAUAUUUAAUUCAACAUAAUUAAAUAUAUAAAUAGCGUGAAUAUUGCAAUUAUAUUUUCUGGCACAGCUUUCCAUCUGUUCUUGGAUUAUGCUUUGUUCAUAAUAUUUUGGUCUUUUACAAGAUUUCUUGUUUCAAAAAAUGUUUUUGUAGAGAAUGGAGGGCAUUGAUGCUGGGUGAAUAAGCAGCUGAUUGGCAGCCAAAAGUUUCCUGCUUGUUUUCAGCUCAUCAUCUUAGAUGUCGUUCAGGAAGUUGAGGCACUGAUACUGACAGUACUUUGACCAAAGCAUUGUUUAAAACAUCUUGUAAAAUAGAUUACAGAAAAAAAAGGAUGAAACAUCAAAUUUGCAAUGAUUGUAGACAUGGAAAAGCCUUCAGAAGAGGGAAAUGUAUUGUUUCUGUACUUCUGAUUUUGGAUGCCUGUGAGGACAAUGAAGAACUUUCAAAACUGUGGGGAGAGCUAAUGCGUGGAUAGUCAGUCAUCUUGUCUACCUGACUUCAUCAAAUGUCAGACAUUUACAGGAGUUCUUUAACAACUGGCCAUGGGGAUCCCAGGGCCAUGGGCAGGGUAUCAUUGUCCUGUAUUUAGAAGAGGUCAUGUGUGAGAGGAUUUUUGUCUUGCAGUGGUUCUUAUGAAGAUGACUGCAGCCAUGAAACACAAAGAAGAAAGCAGUGAACAACUGUUCUGAAGGAGAUCAUAACUGAAUGGGGGAAAAAAAUGAUGUUUGGAGCAACAUGAUAAGUCAAAUGUCAAAUUGGAAAUUUUCUUUGGGUGUGAAUGCAUAAAAAGAGAUGCUGACAAAGGGCCCUUCAGAUCAUAGCUGGACUACAUUAACUGCUGAAGGAGAUUCUUAUUCCCCUGCUCUGACCAGAGAGGAAGCCCAAAACUGACAUGUUUCUACCUGCCUCAUAAAGCAACAAGUUCAAAGAGAGUAUUUUUUUCUCAGUAAAUUCUGAAGCAAGGAGAGAUUAGAUAACUUGCCAGGGUUACCCAAGGAGUCUAUGACAGAGCCAGAAAUUUAGCCAGUUCUUAUUCCAGUGCUUUAAGGACAAUGUAAAGAUUACCGUUUCCCUGUAAAGCUCUCAUGACAUGUUCUAGUUUAGUUUCAGAUCAUGUAAAUAGAAGAUUUUGAAAGUAGACCAGUUUAUUAGAAUUUAUUUGAAAAGAGCAAGUUUGACAGACUAAAUUAGUCCCUGAAUAUCACUUCUGGUGUUUCUUAUGCAUUUGCCAUCUUAAAAUUGUACCACUUCAGAAUAGAACAAAGAUUUCCCUUUUUCCAGUAAAUCAAUGCAGAUGAAUAUGUUCUACUGGCAGGAACAAAAAUUUAAUGACUUUUUAAAUUAUUAUUUACUAUGAAAAUAUUCACCCUUUGGUCUUGUGGGAAGAGAAGUUUCUGACUGAGAGAUAAUUUGUUUGGCAAACCAACAAACUCGCCAUACUGCAGUUUUUCUUUCCUCAAUCCCACAUGCUCUGGGGAGUUUAUUGUGCUGCCAUUUACACAUGAAGAGGCAUAUCUUCCCUACUGUUUCCUUGUGUUCCUUGUCCAAUGAUCCAUGUAUCCCUGUUCUCCAUUCCAAAGUCAAGGCUCCCUCUGACAGUGAUUGAUGGCCACCCUCUUACAGGAAGAGUGACUAACUCUAACCUGUGAGUAUUGGAGGUGCUACAGAAUAUAUCUGCUGCACUAUUUAUUUUGGGAGGCGGACACAUGCCCACAUUUUUAUUCUUGGAAUAAACAUUCUGACAUUUUCUGGCAGGUGUGAAUGCUGUAGCAUACUAGCAAGAAGGAGAAAAAAAAAAAAAGAAAGACAGCCUCUACCCUCUCUAAUGGAAACAAACUGAAUAUUGCCAACAUGAAAAUUGUAAACUCUCACCAGAUUCCAUAUGAUUUUUAUCACUUGAAAAGCCAGAUUUUGAUCCUGUGGGUCUCCUGGCAGACCAGUAUGAAAAUCCUUUUUUUUCAAUGGUGCCUACUUGCUUUUCUCAACCAAAUCCAAACCAGAAGACAACUGUGUAAUGAAUUAUGUAAAUUUUAAACAUCAGCCUGAUUACAGCCGACUCAUUUUGCCAAUAGUCUGAAAAGAUUAGCCCUGAUGUCAAAGUGACAGCAUGCAGAACCCUUCUCAAAACUCUCAGCUGUCAUCUCAUCAAAAGCGCAUUGAAGUAGCAGGUCUGAUGUGAAGGGGUAAUUUCAUUUCUUAUUCAGUUUAAGGUCAGUAACAUUUAGCUCAAUUUUACACUGUGUUAUUCCAAAACUUGCCUAGAAAAUUAUAAAACUUUAAAAACAAAUAUUUAUGCAAACUUAUUAUAAUAACAGAUCCUUACACAUUAUUUGGCUGUAGUGUCUUAGAAGUUAAUAGUAUUUACAAAGAGAAAAUAUUUAAAGUCACAGGGCAUAUCAUUUUUAGCUUGGUUCCACAUAUCCAUAACUGUAGGCUAUAAUUAGUAACAAUUUUAAUUGUGAUUGGUCCAUAGGGAGACAGUUUGUAGCAAGUUCUGUAAAGUUUGCUAUCAUGGAAGAAAUAGUAUGGAAUAAUGUGGAAGAAAUAGGAGUCAGAAGAUACAGAUGCAACAACAGAGAAACUAUAAUAAAUAUCAGUAAGUAGGCCAGAAGAGUUCUGUAUAUAUUUUAAGAAAGUCUUUAAUAAAAUCUUUUUUCCUUUAGCAUAUGCACUAUAAUAACAGUUAUUUCCAUUCCUCUGCUACUCGAAGGAUAUUUCAGUUGUGAAAAAUCACAGCUUAGAAAUUAAUCUGCCCCAUAUGAGUCUAGCAGCAUAAGUCAACAGUUACUCUUUUUGGACAAGUACAAGGAAAAGGUCAUGAAAGCAUUUCAGUGCAUUAACACUGCCAGAGGAACAGAGAAUCCUUGGAAUUCAAGGCUGAAGUGGAUACAGGAAGAUACAGGAGUCCAUCACUAACCUACUGCAGUGCGUCAGAUCUGAGCAAGACAUUGGAACAAGUAAAGCAUGACUAUCUCUGCAGCUUCUGUUUAUCUCCUCCUCGUUGGACCUUCCUGUGGACUUACCAGAAAUCUAUCAAACAGUAUCACAAUAUCUACCUUUGCAUCCGGUAAAAGUGGGGGUCGCAUUAGGACUGGCUGAAAUUCCAGCUUAUGAAAUAUACUGAGGUUUCAGAGCCUGUUCCAACAUGAACAAAACCAAUAUCAUCUGUAUUACAUGCAUGAAGAAACCAAACCUAUUCCAGGAGACCAAUAGGAAUUUUUUCUGUAACCUACAAAUUAGUAGCUCACCUUGGGAAAAAAGAGAGCCAUACUCAGCUCCCCUCAGAGAAUCAGGCAUUUGAAUUUGAGCUUAGCUCCUUCCAGAUGGACAGCAACUUCAGAGCCAUGCAAUGCAACAGCUAUCGAGGAAUCAAGUAAGCUCAUAAAGUGUUGGCUCACACAAGUCAGGGGAAGCAGGAGCUAAGGUUCGAGUAGUCUGCUGCUCCCUGAGGCAGUUCCUCCAAAGACACAAGAGAUGCAGCAGCCUUCCAACAAACAACAAGCACCUGGAUUUGGCCUCAGAACAAGCACUUCAGAUUUGGCCAGCCUGUACACUCAACUGUUAAAACAGCAUCAAAACCCCACGCAUCACUGGAUGAAAUCUUAUCGAUUUUUGUAUGAUUUUUUAUGGUUACAAAGAUAAGCAUUUGGCUCUGCCUUUCUACUAUUCAGUAUCUAAAAAGUUAUAUUCCUGAAGAAGCUUUUGUAUAUAUACAUAUGCAUGGAUCUAAACAUAUGCACAUUUAUUGUAUAUAUGCAUACAAAACAUAUCUACAUAUGCACAUAGAGGAAAAUUAUUUUCUAACCCACAGCUAAAAAAGGAAAAAGCCCAAAGCCCAGGAACCCGUGGUACCCUGACAAACUCAAAGAAGCCAAGGAGGCAGAAAGAGACAUAAAAGCAGAAUAUAACCUUCCCCACUCAUUACAAAGAACCUAGACUUUGAAUCAUUAGAAGCUAGACCCUUAACAUGGUCCCAGGCUGCAAUGGCAUCCUCAGCCAUGUCUUUUUGUGGAAGCCUCCUUUCUGCAAUACACUACAGCAUUUUGCAUUCCUCCUCUCCAUGAAAGAUUCUUUGGAUAUACAAAGUCAACUAGCCCUGAACAUGUAUAUUUUUUCUAUCUCUAACAUACCAUGACACAUAGCUGUAUUUCCAGCUCUCCCAUGGUUUGCUGUAACAGAAGAAUCUUCCAUUUCCUUGUCUUUCUGUGAUAAACUUCCCAGGGAAACCUGUGUUUUGGAAUUUGUUUGUUAUGAAAUAGGAUGUAACAUCUGGAGAAAACAAGGCAUGUUUACGCUUCAGUCUUGUUCUUGAAGAAGUGAACCUUUCAGUGGAGUAAACUCCCAUCUUCCCUUUAGAGACGCAAUGUUAGCUUGAAAGAGAGGAUACAGAUUUCUAGAAAAACAGCAAAUGAGUUUGCAGAUUUACUUGGUAUCUUUUCCACACACCUUCUGCAAAACUCAAACAUUAACGGAAUGACAGAUGAAUUACCCAGGUUCUUUAAGAUCAAGGAGCAAGGCCAUCUAUGAGGAAAAAAUGCACAGAGGCUAAAGGUCAAGGUAUGCCUCAAGAGUUCUCAGUUAUCUGUUUCACCAUGAGCCAAAUGCAAGAACAGAAAGAGACUUCUUAAUUCCACCCUUCUCCUUCCCUGUUCUUGUAGUAGGGGGAUUUGCUUAAUUCUUUACAGCUGACCCAGGCCUUCUACCCUGACAAUCUUUGUGCUAAGUUUACGGCAUGCAGCUGCGGUCCUUCUGCUCAGGGCAAGAAUGUUAACCCUUCCCCUGACAAUCCUUGAACUGGUUAUUAUACACAGUCCAUCAGACGAAUCUGAUUCGAGACACCACCAGAUGGUUGUUAUUUAGGUGAAAGCACACCCAAAUAGAAUAAUAGUCCAAAAUACUACUGGGUCAGUUACUGAGCUACUAAUUCGUGAUCAGAAGUGGAAAACAGAAAUACGUUGGCAUGAAGAAGGGGCAUGGAGGAGAACUGUGAAUUUGUCAGUCCCUUUGCAUUCCUCCUCUUGAAGAGCUUUCAAAUGUAAGCAGAAAGCUUUUUCUGCCAUCAACUAUCUUGUUGGGAGGCUUGGGUCAGGUUUUUUUAAAUGAGCUGUUCUGAAACACAAACUUUCUUAAGGAAAGGUUGAACAUAAUUCACAGCAGAGCCAGAAAAUGAGAGCCAACCUUCCACUGGCACUUCUGCAUCUGAAAAGGGAAGAAAAUUGACACCUGGAAAUGCUGACAUUUCGGAAAACAAAUCUUAGCCAUUUUGAGCACAAGUAGGAUGCUGGCAAGCAGCAUGACAUUGAAGUAGGAGGAAUGUAGAAGUACUUACAAAACAAAACGGAGAGGACUAUUAAGGAACAGAUACAUAUGAGCAUUCAGCAAUGCCAUGGCUAAUUAAUUUGUAUGACUGCCUUUCAAAUCAUGGACAGAACCUGGUAGAUGCUACUCAUCUUUCUCCUCGUAACAGCUGCUCAGAUAUUAACAUUAAUGCCUGAAGUAGUCCAUUGAAACUGUUGGCUUUAUGCAGUCCACCUCAAAUCAAGAUGACUGUUUCCUUUAGGACUGUGGAGAUAGUUGAUAUUUCAGUUGGGAGGCCAAGUUACACACCAAUUUGAUUCAGACUGAGCUGAGUUCAGAUUUCCUUUGUAUUUGCUUUUCUCACCAAAAUGAGACACUGGAAAAGCUCUGCUUUACAGAAAAUAAAGCAGGCAAAAUAAGACGAAGGACUGGACCCUGAUGCUGUAGAAGAAACCUCCAUCCUUCCAUCCACCAAAACACUACCAAAUCAAACCUCUACAGUACAAAUAAAAAUAUCAGCUUCUGUUCCACCCUCUGUCAGAGGCUCCUUUCCUAUUGGAAUCAUGAUCAAGCAAUGAUCAUGAUCAACCUAUGAGACAUGACAGCAUGCUGUGUUACCAGCUUCCCCAGCACCCCCAGAGCCAACCCCUCCCUCACUUCAGGUGAGUGAUAUGGCCACCUGGACAGUGUGCCUCAACUGAAGGAGGCCCCAGGGAAGUACAGGGAGGAUGUCUCCAUCCCACAGGACAUGCAGUGCAGGUUUUAGUUGUCUCCUUGCCCAGUCUCUUCCCUGUAAACCCACUGGAAAGAGGGAAACGUCAGUUGUGGUGAUGAGGAUGUCUGCCUAUACAGAGGAGCACUGGAGGCACCAGCCGAAACAGCCUGGGUUAAACAACUCAUACAGUUUUAAAAAAGCUUUUCCUGCAAACUGGACAACAUUUUCAACCUGAUGUUCUUGAGAUAGUUGUUUGUUCCCUUGAUGAAAUUCAUAGACCCCUUCUAGCACCGGGCACCAAGCUAGCUCACGUGGUCCCAAGACCCCUCUCUCCACUGUUACAAAGGACUGAGCAGCAUGACCAUGCUUCCAGCAGGGCAUCAUCAGCUAAGUUACCACUAGGAUGGGUGAACACAGCCUAAAGACUUCCACAGCUUCGGAGUCCCUUUUACACUGACCUGCUCUCCAGUGGUCUCCACAUUCUCCCUUAUAUCCUGUCGUUCAGAUGCCUUCUUCAUUCAAACUAGCUGACAAGCCACUUAGGAAAGCAAAUGAUUUCUGAAAAAUCAUGCUCUACAGAUCAGUAGUGCUUUAUAACAAUUCAGAGAACAAGAAGAUAUAUUAUAACAAUGUUUGGAUUGCAAAAGCAAAUAAAGCCCAGACAUUAUAAGGUUUACAUAUACUUAAUCCAAGAAGAGAACAAUUGGAAUUAAAUUAAUUCUUGCACUUUAAUAUAUCAUACAUGUAUACAAAAGGAAUGCUUGCAAAUCAAAAACAAUUUGCAAGCAAAUGGGAAAAAAAAAAAGAAACCAAACCCAGGAACAAAUCUGCAGCACUCAGUUUGCUCCUAUGGUGGGUGUAUUUUUGUCCCAUAAUGCUAGUCCUGUUAGUUUUCUUCUUUCUUUUCUUUCUGUACUAUUGUACCUGAUCUGUUCUUUUUAAUAGAAAACUUGAACAAGUUUGGGUUGUAGGAGGCUUUCCUAUACAAGAAAACAGCAGAACCAUCAUCACAGUUUGUGGACCCUUCGACUUAAACAGUAUGCAUGCACGUUAUUUUCAGAGACACUGUUUUUUGUAAGUAAUCCCAUAUAACCAAGGUUUACAGAGCUGGAGAUUCUGUGGGUCACAGCACAGAAAUAAUCUCCCUCCCAUACCUGCUUUUUGGUAUCAUGUUGUUGGAUUUUCAUCUCGUUAUUUAUGGAGAAAGUAACCGCAGUCCUCCAAGCCUCUCACUGGAGACUGCUUUCCCAACUCAGCUGAAAGGUAGUCAUAUCUGCGGGUCUCAAAUCGCUGCAAGGGUGGAAGGCUUUGGUUCGUUUCUUGAAAGAUGGGAUUACAAUGGAAAAUAGCGUUAGGUUAAAGAAAUAGCACCGGUGGUAUAAUUUGGCAGAAAAAUAAAGGACGUCCAAACAAAAGGGUUUGAAUUUCUGGAAAAAUAAUUUUAGUUUUGUGCCAACGCUGUCUGGGCUGAGCAAAAAAAAAAAAAAAAAAAAAAAAAAAAAGAUUUACACCUUUUUUGAAACUUGAACCCAUUGCCAGAAGUAUGUAAGAAAAGUCAGUCAGAAUCCUAAGGAGUAAAUUUCUUGGGCUGCCAUUUCCACUGAGUAAGUUUGAUAAAUAAAACUUAAUUUUUACGUCUGCCACGGAUUCUGGGCUAUGAUUAAUAGCUAGAGCAUUGUGGCCAGUAGCCAAUGUAUGUAUGUGAUUACAGCAAUCUUAAAUAUAGUACAUUUUGAAUAAAUAUGCCACAUAACAGUAUAAAAAACACCCCAUGCAUGCCUGGAAAAAAAAACUUUGUCCCAGCGUCAAGUAUUAAAUCCUUAUGAGAGUUAAACAGCACAGGCAUCAUCAGGCAGGCUCACAGGAAUACGGGGUGCCGCUGGAAUCAGCUCAACUCUGGGACCUCAAUCACUGAAACACCAUUUCUGUUCAUUUCGUUUCAGCUGAUUUGCUGCAUUAUGGUAGUGGGGGAAAAGAAAGAUAUUAGUUUAAAAAUUAGACUUGCAUAACUCAGGUUUCAUGAUCUGUACAAUUUUCCUCUCCUCUUCAAAGGGCAGCAGGCUCUCACCUGUGCUUACAGCAGCGGGAGGAUAACAGAGAACCACCAAACUAUUGCAUGUCCACCACAGAAUUACUCAUUUCAUAGAAGUCCUGCAAGGAAAAAUUUACUGGGAUUUCCGAGGAAACACAGGAUAUCUUCCAAAUGCCUGUAUCUGUGGGACAGGAAAAUUCUCUUCCUCCUCUCAGCUUACCUUUGCGCUUUUACCCCUUCAGCAGCCUUGCUGCUGCUGGCUCUCCCUUCAGCAUCUCCACUGUUUCUGUUCUCUGCUGAAGAAAACUGAUUGGCACGAGCAACAUAUGCACGAGGCAAUCAGUUUUAUGUAACAGCAGCAGAACUGGAAGCUCCUGGAAGUUCAGAGCUUAAAUAGGGUUUGUUCAAGCCAAUCAGUAAUUUUAGCUUUAGUACUGGCCAUAGGGGUCUUAACAGCUUUUUUAAUGAAAACUUUCUCUGUGUGUCUGCCUUUUGUGCAACGGGUUUCAAGCUCCUGAGCUCCAUUAGUCAGCCCCCUCACUGUAUGUAGUGGAAGA